AUGAUUAUCUCAUCUUGCAUUUUAACUUUUUUUUUAAAAUGAAACUUAUAGAAAAAACUUGAAAAGACAAACCCAAAAUGUUCCAACAGCAGGAUAUAAGUGCCCCUUCAAUUAAAAAAAAAUACUUUUUGUAGUUUUUUUACAAGACUUUUUGGAGCUUGAGGCGUGGUUUUUAACAUGCUAAAGUUAACUAUGUAGUGUUAACAAGACUUUUGGGAAUGCAGCAAUUUUCUCAGGAGGUAUGAGUUGAGCUACUAAUAGAAAGGCCCUUAAUGCAUAUAAAAUUGCACAUAUGGUCUCAUGGAUACUAGGCUUUUGAUAGUCGUGAUCAGUGCUUCUGAAAUGUCUAGUCAAACCCAUCCUAGUUUGCUGGCAUUAGCAACAUGACUCUGAGCAGGAUCUGAAAGCUCUAUUACAAAAUAUUAGGCAGCUUCUGUACUGAACAGAAGUAAUGCCCCCAGUGGUAGGAUUGCAAUAUCACUUCUGAUUUUGGUUAAAUGCCUGCAGUAUUUUUAAAUGGUUAUUUUGAAGGUGGAUCAGAGUUGGAAUAUAAGGGGAAAAAAACCCUUAUGCAAAAGGUAAGUUUUCUUACUUCGUUCAGCCUUAGAUAAGGGAUUAGGGAAGCGGAAGCAGAGCAGCAUUAAUUUGGACCCAUAGUAUCUUGAAGCUGUUUGCUAAUACAGGAUCAUUCAGCGACUCAAACUAUUUGCUAGCUUUCCUUAGAAGACUGCACAAGUUAAUAUUAUAACUUCUUGAGGGACUUAUCACAUGAAGUAACUCUCCACAUCACUUAAAAGGUCUCAGGUAUUGUAUUAUGGAAAGGCCUCUCCAUAGUUAAGGCUAUAAUCACUUUUCCAUUAUACUUUUUGCUCCUCCCUCCCCCUUCUUCCUUGUGCUUGGGAGAACAAAGAAGGGCGAUUUGUGCCAAGCUUGCAGAUUUCACUGAGUUUAAGUCAUAGCCUGUAUUCUGCAGUAUGUAACCCAGAAACUUUAUCUUUGGGUUGUCUAUAGCAGCUUAUCCAUUUUGAAGAGCGGUGCUGAUAGUUUGAAAUGAGAAGACCUAGAAUGUUCUGAAUCCCUAAACAUCUUGGGUUCUUGGUUUACUACUGGAAGAAUGAGCAGAAUCCAAAAAACAUGCAUAACUUUUGGUAGGCUGCUAAAUCUGGUUUCAGAAUUUUGCCAUAGUUCCUACGGUAUGGGGGAAGCAUGCAAACUCUCUAAAAGCCAAGCACUUGAUACCUGUCUUGCCAUUAUAACAUUCUGCCCAAUAAUUUUGCAAAAAUGAAAUAAAUCCACCUAAAAUUUCUGGUCAAAUCUAGCCAGAUCCAAAGUGAAUAAGAUAUGGCAUAUUUCAGGUAUGGAAGGAAAAAUGAAAUACCAAUUAAAAUGUGGUCCCAAUUUGGAGAGUCAUCAGAAAGAAAAUGGCUGAGGGCUCAGACUCUGUAUUCUAAAAAUCAUAUCCUUGGGGAGUAUAGCUAAUUCCAUAUUGCUUAGGAUGAUUUAUUUUGGUUUUUGAGUUUGGGGGGUUUAUGGAGACUUCUUGUGUGAAAUCCUGGCCUCAUUUACAUUAAUGAGGUCAGAAUGUCACCCUCUAACCUUUGCAGACGCCUCUUAAAGGCUUUUGAAAGGUCUUCAGCUUCUACAGAUUUAAGUAGAACCAGCAAGGCUAAAAAAAACAGGCAGAUGUAAUAUUCAGAUCAGUGUGUUAACUAACCCUUACCAGUAUGUUUCAGCUUAAGGGUAGGGAACCUUUCCUUCACCCUCUCACUUGACGUAAUGGAAAGGGAGUGAACAUUUUCAGAUUAAUUCUUUUAGCUUGUUAAUUUGUCUGACCACUAUUUUUUUCCCAGCCAUUGUUUACAUAGUGUAGGUUCUCUUGUUGAUUUUUAGCUAACAGAAUUGUUUCCGAGUCCAGGUGAAUUUUCAUUUUAGAUCUGUAGAUCUUAAUUUAUAGAAAGGAUCCUGUAUGUUCUAAGACUAGAAUUGUGCACCAUAUUGUAAACUUUGACUUAAUAGUUUUUGUUGCAAAGGAAAUGUUAACUUCAAAGCUUUUAACUCCAAAUUAACACUUUUUUCUUUACAACUAGAGCAUUUUCUUAAUGUGUAGCAGGCCCUCACUCUCCUCGCCCCCCCACCCCCCAAGGGUGGCUGUGACACCCCCUGAUGGCCAAGCUACCCCUCAGCUUCUUGGGCACCCUCCUUUUUUUUGUCUCUCCUGCUGCACCUUUAUGAAUAUUCUGGUUCUUUGGGAGGCUCCCCCAGGGCCCUGUAGUGAGCUUCAAUCUACUCCUCCCUCUUUUCUUUCUGGCUCAUGCCUGGCUGGCACCAGUCCUGCCCAAAGGUACUAAACCGUGCCUCUCAGGUGUUACUCUUCACAAGCCUCUACAGUCCUCAGCCCUCUUGGCUUUAGUCCACUGGUUGCUCUCACUGUUCCUCUGGUCUGACUUCUGAGUCUCAGCCUCUCUCCCUCUCAGGUACAGGCCCUUGGCCCUCAAAGCCCUUGGCCCCUCUUGCUUUGGUCCAGGCCCUUGACCCACCCCUGAUAGGGCUCAGAACUUGGAAUGCCCCUCUUGCAUCCCUGCAUGCCUAUCCAGUCCUCCAGUUUAAACUGCAAUACAAAUGCAAGCAGACUGUUCCUAACAAAGAAAGCCAAAGCCCACUCUGGGCCCUCAUACCACUGCUGAAGCCAUUUCUCCACUUGCUGGUUCUCUUGGCCCCUGGGAGUUCCUGGCCUGGCUUGCAACUUGUGCUCCUUGACAGCUUAGGCUAGCAAGAGCUCUUCCAUCUGUGGGUUCAAGGCAGCACCAGUCCCUCUGCUUCCAGGACACAAGCUUUUUUUCCCAAGCUUCUCGUGUUCUGGUUAGGUGCCCCCAUGACCAGCUGCAGAUGUGCUCCUAGGUCUAAUGAGGAGUUUACUGGUGUUCUCCUGUCUGCCAUGGUUGUUAUUCUCCUUCCUACUUGGAGCCCUGUCCUGUUGACCUAUUGCUCUACAGCUAGCUACCCUAGGAGUUGACUGCUACCCUCCAGCUCCUCAGCUGUCUAUACUUCUGCAGCUAGCCCCAGUUCAUCUGCUGGCUUCUGCCUGUGGGCCUUAGCUGUUGCAGUCUCUCCUGGUGCAGUAACAGGAGCCUCUGGCUCAAAAGGUUACAUUAUUUUGCAGCUGAGAAAUUUACCAUUCUUUUCUUAAGACUGCACACUGUCUAAAAAUAACAGCUAAGAAACAUCAACUAGCUUAUUCAUCUUAUUAGGGUAUAAACUCUGCUGAUAUUAUUUCUACUCAUCAUUUUAUCGGAAAUGUAUCUAGCAAAAGUAUUUAUUUCCAUAAGUGAAACUGCUUGCUGUUUACUUCUGUCAUAACUAUUAACUGUCACUUUAUAUAUUUUUUUUUUAAAGUCUGAAAAUGUCAGGAUAGCUUAAAGCUUAGUUUAAGAAAACAUAUACAAAAGUGAAUAGUAUUUGUAUACAUAACCUGUAAAUGAAAAUGCUACAGAAUUUCCAGGCUGACUCAAUAGAUGCCUGCAGCAUCUAAGGAUUUUGCUACAGAGUUUAGUUCAGUUUUUGCAGGGUCUGUGCAGGGCCUUGAUUUAAAGAAAUAAACAAAAUAAAGGCCUAUUCCUCAGUGUGCUAUGAGACUAUUUAACAUCAGACAUUCCAGAUGCAGGUAGCAGAGUUCAAAGGACCAUAUUCAACAUCUUUCUCGUGCUUUUAAUCUGAAACUUUUUACUUCCUGGUAUAACAAUCCAAGAUUACUAUAGCUGUCCCAAGAUGAAAGGGGGAAAUGCAUUUGUCUGUCUUCUCAAAUGCAAGACCGAACCAAUGGACAACAGUUUGUAUAUAGUUCAGCUUCCCUAUUUGUGAAAAAAAUGCCAAAUUUUUCACAUGGCAAUGGGAAAAUGGGAUGGAGAGUAUUAGAAUAGAAACGAGAAAGUUUGGUUCAGCAACUAAGAUAUCAUGUCUGAAAAUUAGUUAAAUGAAAAGUAGUUUAAAAUGGAUGGUGUCCCUUCUACCAAGUAGCUUAAGAAAACCAAGUAUCAAAAUGCAGUAGUCUGAGUUUUUUUAAAUUUAUGUGAGGUAAGUUGUUUUCUAAAUGCAGCUCUCACUGCUCCACUGUAGUAGUAGGCAACCGUCAAUCCUUCUGGAUCAUGGAUGAUGUGUAAGGUCUCUUCCAGCCCUAAUAACUAUCUCACUAUGGUGCAUGUGUGAGAGGUCACCAGGAUCUUUGACAUGUAUGCCUAGGCAAAAACCUGAAGGAGCAGAGGUGGCCAGGACCUUCCAAUUCCUGUUUAGGCCAUGGAGACAGAAUCCAAAGGUCAGACCAAGUCUGGACACUUGGUGCCUUGGCUGUUAUAUGUGCGCCAGGGAAUCAAACCCCAGUCUCCUGCACAGCAAACAAGGACUCUACCACUGAACCACAAUAGCAGCAUGCACUCGAAAAAGCCUCAUUCUCUGAUUUGAAAAGCUGCUCUGGUCAUGUUGUUUAGGUGCAAAACAGAAUCUCCUUUGUGCAUAGGCACUUGAGUUUUAUUUCCCUCCCCCUACCCUUUUCUUUAAACAAAGAAAUAAAAAAGUCAGAUGUUGUAGGUCUGACCUAAACUGACAGAAGACCAGAAAUUCAUAACUUGUUGUUGUAAACAAGGAGAGUUGUUCAGGGCGAAAAACGUUCCUGUCACAGCCUGUUCAUUUCCAUGUGACAUGCGGUUUUUUGUAGAACCAUUGCGGGAGAGGAGAGAAAAGCAGAACAAUUUUUAGAACAGUGGGGGAGGGGGAAUUAAGUAAAAUCCACCCUCCAACAGUGACAGAAGAAUGUGUGUGAGAGCGAGAAAUGUGUUUAAGUAUUAUUAGUGCCUAUUUUAAAAGGGAAGUGGGCUGGAAAAUGGAGCUACAAAUGUCAGUUCCUAAUAGAGAACUAUCAGAAACUGGAAGGAAUAAAAAAAAGUGCUUUUUAAAGAUGACAAUGAGAGUGGUAACCUUGUCUUCCAAUGGUUGAAGGGAAGAAAAGGAAGAAGGUACUGAAUGGGGUCAAAGUAAAAGCAUCCUAAAUUUCUGGGACAUUCUGCAUUUUCUUGAAUGUUAAUACUGACAAAUGGAUUUUGUUUCACAUACUAAGUACAAAGUAGCAGUAAGAUGGAGCAGUUGAUACACCCAGAUUAUUAGUUAUGGUGCAGUUGCUACUGUAGGUGAAUGCCAUAAAGUGUGUUAAUGAAUUGAUACUGCUGGUAAGCCCUCAUAGGAUGAGUAAUUGGGCACAGAGUCAUUCCAGCAGAGUUGGCAAUUGAAUAGCGUUAAUCACGGUGAUGCCUUUAAUAGCAUUUAAUAGACACUUAUCUGAAUUCAGAGUCAGAUGAGUUAUUGCUUUUUAAGAGCCUUCCCAGAGCUAUUAACAUUAUGUGGUAAAGAGCUACUAACAUUAUCAGAAGAAAGUUUUUGUCUGUUUGUAAAGUACUUGCUGUCUGAGUUAUGCAUACAGAGCUGUUUUCUCUGUUAGAAACUUUUUCAUUUGAUAGUGUAUAAAAUUGCUGAAGCUGCACCAAGGUACUGGUAUUUUCCCUGUGUAGGUAUUUGUACAUAAUACCCUUUCAGGUUGGGAAACCAAUUUGAAGAUGGCGAAGAGGUGUUGUGGGGGGGCAGAGUUAAGGGGGGCAGGUCUUUUCCUUUCUUGUUAAGCGAGUUGUCUCCAAAAGUUAUCUGCUGUAACAUGAUGUCAUGGUAUGGAAGAAGCUGGGAGCCACUAUUCUUUAUUUCCAUACAGGUGGCAGUUGGGAAUGUUUCCAUUUGAAUGUCUGCUGCAAAACCCAGAGUCUGUUUCUUACCAGGAAAGUGAUACUCUGUGUAAAGCACAAUUUUUACACAGACAAGGCAAGGUUAGUCCUGUGCUUCCUAAAAAAAGAAUGGGGAGGAAGCUGGGGUCCUACCUUGCUUAGGUCCUCCUUAAAAAUCCAACCCUGACAGGAUCCUUGCUUUGCCUUUAACUGUGAUGUGACUAAGAAAUUCCAUAUUUUAAUUGGUUGUUUUCCCCUUGUGUUCAAUGUGUCAUUUUAAAGUUCCUAAUUUGGCAUGGCCCCCAAAAAACCUUAAAAAUCAUCAUUCCUACCCAAGUCACUCUACAGAACCAGUUUUACACAUGGAUUUUCCAAGCUGUUUAUAUUGUUGCUGGUGCAUAGGAAAGUAAACAGAAGACAGCUGUGUUGGCAGUAUAGGAAACUUAGUGAGAGGCAACGUUUGUCAAACAGGCGGAUAAAAUAAAUAGAAAUGUUUUCAAGCUUCUUGGAGUAGAACAAUGGAAUGCAAAAAAAAAAUCAGAGUUAGAGUUGGCAAAGCACUGUCAGAACGUAUUUUAAUUGAGGAAACCACUGUUUUUAAGCUAAUGCAUUUUGGUUGCUUUGUAAUGUCUGUUUAUGUUAUUAAUAAGCUCCUACACUCAGGGGUUCAUGUCUUGUUGCUGAUGUGUACUUUUCAGUAUGAAGGGAGAAGACAAAUAUUUAACUUUCCAAGGAGCUCUAUGUAUUUGUGUGUGUGUGUGUGUGUGUGUGUGUGUGUGUACACUUGUUUAUAUAUGAUUUAUUCUUUGCUUUCAUAGCUAAUGAGCCAGUUUGCAUGAAGUCUCAGUGAGAUCUCAAUUUUAUAAGUGGUGAUCUAUUAUUGAUAAAAUUGAUGCCUUUGCUCAACUUGGUGAUUUUUGGUAUAUACUGCCAUGCAUAACAACCUAGACUUAUCUCCAGCCUGAGUGGAUUUCUCUCCGAAGCUCAGCAGGGUAUGUUUGGCUUCUAAAGAUACAAAGGGAUGGUGUGAUCUUCCCUGACUUUCAAGAUAGUAUUAUCCAUUCCUUGGUUAGAAGGAAAGUAUCUUCAAGGGUGAGAGAGGCUAUUGCUAAAAGAUGGGAGGAAUUCAAAGGGCUGCUGAAAGAUGUUUUCCCUCCCCACCCCUGACCUCUCCCAGCCCUGCCUUUUUUAGGCAUCAGGUUUCUGUAGUUGUCUCUGUUUCCAUAUUGUCCCUCUUCAGCUCUUAGUGCCAGCCUUUUCAUGUUUUCAUUACUGACACAAAAGGGUACAUACCUCUUCUCUUUACUUCUUAGUCCUAAAAAUUGAAGUCCAUCCUUUUCCUUCCCCACCCCUUCUCCCAUGCAUAUCCUCAAUUAGAAAAUCAAAAUGGUCUUUCUCUGGAAACAGCUUUGAAACUUGAGAGACACUGAGUAGGAACUGUUCCAAAGUUGAGUCAGUGCAGUUCCCUCAUAAUUUUGGUCAGUCUGCUCCCAAACUGUUUGCAGAGUUCAGAACUGUGGUCUGAUCCUGUUUAUAGGAGCCUAGGAAAUGCCACACAAAGGAUACCAGAUGGACCAUUGGUCUAUAUCUGGUAUUGGACAGUACCAGAUGCUUGAGAGGAAGUUUUUAAUACAGGAAAUAACCUGCUAACAGGUGAUGUUUCGUCCUAAUUCCAGCAGCUGGAGUGUCUUGUUCUUGAAACAUGAAGAGCGAUGUUGUUUUUACUUUUAUCUGCUGCACAUUUUGAUAUCACUCAGCCUCUUGGAGAAUCCAUUUUGGUUUUGACCAUUUACACUGGUUUAGACAGCUUUUGUAUAGUCCUACCCCCAAUGGUAGGAUGGCUAAAAAGACAAUCUAGUUGCUCUAACAACAUUAAGCCACUGAUCAAAUUUCCCAUGCAAUAUAUUUCCUGGUGUAAACAGAACUACAAGCAUCUAACAGUAACGUUAAGAGUUUUGUGACUGCUCAAAUUUGAUUAAAAUGCAUAUCCUUAUCAGUAUUAAAGUACUUUGAAGAGUACACAGCUGUUGAUGUAUUUUGCAGCUGCCUCUUGCCAUCUUAUUGGCUAAUGAACCUUGGAUGAAAACAAAAAGGGCCAGUGAUUUGAUAUAAGGGAGCCGUUAACGGAGUGUCUUAAACAUAAUCCUUAUUUAUUUUGAAUAUUAACCUGCACUUGCAAACCUGAGUGGGGAAACUUCUAUACAGUGGCUUUUUUUGCUUGUUGGUUUUUAAGGCUGUGGCUCAGCUAGUUAUCCUGUAUCUCAAGACUUUUUUUUUUUCCAAUUUAAGCUAACUGAUUAUUUGUGCAUGAGCCACAAACCUGUUGUUAUUAAUCAUUACCUUCUAUGCAUAUUGUAUGUUCACUUAUGUGGACUGUUCUAACUGUGCUUGUGUGUGUUGACAUUAUCUUGUAUUUAAAUGUAUUGCAUGAGGUUUACUUGGGUUUUUUGUAUUGCCACUUUUGUAUUCACACAGUGCCUCGUGUAUCCAUUUACAUAUUGCAAGAAAUUGUUUCAAAGCAGUAAUUGGAAAUAGGAGUGGGGACAAGAGAUCUUACUGUAGCAUAUAUUGUUUUGAAGUAUUAAUAAACUACAGUGAUUCACA